AUACACCCCUCUCCACCCCACCCCUCCAUCUUUUUUUAUUUAAGUAUUGACAUAGGUCCCUUCACCUUAAAAAAGAAAAAUAGAUGAGCGGUCUGCACCCGCAAGGCGGUGCUCUUGUUACUUGAGCUGUAAUACAGCCAAGAGAAGAUCAGCUACAUGUAGCACUUAAGAGUCUAUCAUUCUUUUAUGUUUUGUAAUUGGCUCUAUUAAGGGACUUUUGGCCUGAGGUUCUAUAGUACAGCCUGCUUCAGACCAAACCAGGUCAAUAGACUGGGCCAUCGAUGAAGCAUCAACGUCUGUCUCUGACAACGGUAUGCUCGGCAGGAGCAGCAUUUAAUGUAUGUACCUGUGAGUAGGAUUGAUGUGAAUCUGUGUGUUAAACCACACCAUUGAAGAAAGCUGCAUUCAACAGGUUUUUUAUGCCUUCAGUAGGGUGGCAUAUGGCAGUUGAACUGUCCGUCAGUCCGUCUGUCUGUCUGUCAGUCUGUUCAUCCGUCCGAAAACUUUAACAUUUUCCAUUACUUUUGCAAUAUUGAAGAUAAUUGAUAUUUGGCAUGCAUGUGUAUCUCAUGGAGCUGCACAUUUUGAGUGGGGAAAGGUCUAUGUCAAGGUCAUCCUUCAAUGUCAAAGGUAAUUUUUUUUUUUUAAUAUUUCAAAAUUUCAAAGCGGCGCAUAAUACUUAAAAUUUAGACUCGCAAGGGUGACUCAUGAUUUGCGAAAAUGUAAUUCGUUGUUAUCAGGUUCUCAAACACAGGAGUAUUCAGACAACUAGAACCAAUCCAUACUCGUCAAUGCCUCGCCUUGUGAAGGUGAGGGUCAAGGAUCUUUGUCAUGCAGAAGAUCUUCACCAGCUUCUAAAUUGUGCUGCCAGUAGGAAAUAUUUGUAUAAGUCACAUGUUAAAAGUCAAUGGUCUUAGACACUUUGUCAUGUGUAUUUUCAAUAGUAAAGCAAUUUAUUUUCAAAUAUAAUAUUCCAUCUGAGAACAGGGAUGUAAGAAUUUUAAAUAACCUACUUGCAACCCGUGUUUUUUUGCAGAAUGUUAAAUGUACCCAGUGGCUGCACAUGACGCACUGGCCCCACAUGCGGAGUUUCAAAUAUGGCGAGCUGGGCAAGUUUGGUGGAGACAUCUUCCUGCAGACACAAAACACGUUAUCUUUCGGAUUGAAUUCAAUCACUGGAUACAAUGCGUUUUUUUCUAUGCUAUUGAACUUUUUGGGAGAUUCUUGAGUUUGAUCCCACCUAUGCUUUCUGUACAAAAUAAUGAGAAUGAAGCAUAUAGAGGAAAAUGCUAGUCUUGCUGUGAUGACACAACUUCUGCAUUUAUACCCAUGUUAUUUUAUGUUUAACAAUUAAAUAAAAUUAAAUGAGUUCAGUGGUCAAUUAGUUAAGCAAACUUUCCACUCCACACGGUUGCAUUCCCAUCCCUCUAAAUCCAUAAAAAGGGAAGACUUGCAUGUAACUACCUUUAAACAAACAAUGUUGACAAAUCAAUUUUACCGGUAAUUGUCUUCAAACUAAUUCUGGCAACAGCUGUUUCUUGACUUUGUUUCAAUCCAACAAGAUUAUCAUAGACUCAUAUGGCCAGUGACAAGGUAUUUUAGCCCAUUUCAGUUGUAAGAGGUAUUCAGCUAUCUGCCUGUCAAUUCUUUGUUGUUGUUGUGUUUUUUUGUCUGGAGUUUAACUGUUAAAACACUUGUAGAAAAGUAUGACUCAAUACUGAAUACAUGUACACCAUGCUAUUCACCCAUUCUGUCGACUCUGUUCGUUUUGCAAUUAUAUUGCAUCGCUACAGAUGGUCUAACUGCUCUUUCAAUUCACCCCUGUAAAGCUACUGGAACUGAAUGAGGUGCAUGUACCACAGGUGUCACUGUCUCAUUGAUCUUGAUGUCAUACUCCCCUGGCAAACCACAGGUGUCACUGUCUCAUUGAUCUUGAUGUCAUACUCCCCUGGCAAACAAACAGUUUCAUCGGCUAGAACAUCACUGAAUUUUUAUAUCAGUUGCUCUAUUCCCAUCUUUGCACUGUUUACUCUCAUGAUGAGGCCUUAGUUUCACAGAGUCAUCUCUGCCCAACAGAUAAAAGUUUCUUUUUCCAUCAAUUUCUUGAAAUGUUAAAUUGUGCUGGACAAUUUUUGAACGCAUGCAUUUGGCAACACUUGGCAAAAUGACAUGAUACUGUUUGAAAUGUUUUGUCUUGCAACACAUUUGCCAUAUUUAUUUGAUGUGCCACAUGUACUUCUGGGUGCAAAGGCUUAAUGUGAGCAUUUGUGAGUUCAAUGUGAAGACACGUUGAAUCACCCUUUCCAAUGUUUAUUGGUUUGCUGGAAUUUUCCAAGAGCUUUUCCGAACACUUUUUGUCGUCUAACACAUUAAUUAUCAUGUCACAUACGAAACCAUCCUUUUGCUCUCCAUAUUGGCAGUACCCAGCUUUUGGAUAAUUUCAGAUAAUUGAACUCUUGUAGUUUUCACUAAUUUCAGUCGCUUCAUGUUUCUGAAUUUGUGAACACCCAAAAUGAUGAUCACAUUUUGCUAGCACAGAGUCCAAAACAUAUCUAUCUUCUGCAGGCCUGUGUGCAAUACCCCUGUCUUCAUCUGCCAACACUUCUGGCAACCAUACAAAGAAUAAUAAAUUUUGACAUAUUCACGACCCAUGUUGGAUAAUAUUACUCCCAACUUUUCGACGUCCUGGUUUGUCUUGCAGAUCUAAUGCGCCCUGGUGAACUAGAAAAUUACGUUUGUAUAUCUCCCCACUCUGUUUCCGGCGAAUUUCUUAUUCCUUUUGCAGCCAUACUGUCCCCAGUUGCCUAAACUUCAUCAAUAAAUGUCUAGCACCUAUUGUUAUCUGUAUUCCAGCUAUAUAUUCACAACCAUUCUGACACCCAGAGACUACUACGCUUUGCCUUAAAAUAGGGAGAAGUGACUUCUCCUUUUUUCUGAAACGGAGAAGUUUGGAAAAUCAGGGAUAAGUUUGUGCGAACAAUAUUGAUUUUAAGUUUUUCAAAAACAAAACAUGUACAUUCCACAACUUGUAUUAUUUCUAUCAUUAUAUUUUUAAUUGUAAAAACAUUAAAUUCUCAUUACAAUCUACUUAAUUAUACAUAUAAUAAAUUAUUACAUUUAAGUCAUUUAACACAUUUAAGUAAAGAUAUGUACCGGCAGCACCUUUUCAUCAUAUACUGUAAACAUAUAGAAAUUCGUCGGUAUGAAAUUUCGUGGUUAAAUGAAAAACAACUAAUUCGUUGACACGUAAUUUCGUGGAUUUCAAAUAAAAAACAACUAAUUUGUUGAGACGUAAUUUUGUGGAUUUCAAAUUUUCGGGGAAGACUGACCUGUCAUAAUAAUAAAACUUUUAUUAAAACAAGCAGAGUAAUAACGAAGCAUUAUAUGCUUAUCUGUGUUGACAGCAAUACUUGAGGUUAAUGUGCACUGAAGCAUGAAAGUGUUGCCGAUAAUUGUCGAUAAGAGCGAUAAAGCGGCGCACUUGUGGGCCCCUGCUCGCUAAUUUCCAUCAAUGUUGUUUUGACAAUAUUUUCAAUUCUCAUCGCAAUCGGUCCCAUAAUAAUAACACUUAAUAAAUUGAGUAAUAAGGUCCCAAAAAUACAUGUGUGAAAAGCGUUAUGUCUCUUUUAACUUUAAUUGGCAUUAAUUGACAAAUGUGAUAAAUCUGCAAACUGUUAAUUUGAUAUUUGAUAUUUUAUAUAAACACUCUACUUGUUAUUUAUACUUAGUAAUCAUGAACAUCGUAGUUCUUAUCAUACUAAGUAAUCAUAAACAUCUUAGUUCAAACAUAUAUUAUUUACGUCAAAUGGGUGGAAAAUAACCCAAACAUUUUAAAUUCGGAAGUAUUUUAAUUAGUCAACAUAAAGUGUAAUGUGACCUACUGAAGUAUUUUUUUAACUUUUACAAAAAGCAAAUAUCUCGCAUAACAGACAACAAAAGAAAAUGUCGGAAAUGACAUUCGGAAAUUACAGAUUUCAGAUUUAAAAAAGUAUAAAUAAUCGUUGGUACUUGAAUUCGUGGUUAAGCGGACCAACGAAAUCAACGAAAAUUCGUACCACACGAAAUUUAAUGGUUUUACAGUAUUUAUCAUCAUUAUAUUAUCAUCAUCCCUAUCACUGCUUUUGUAACAAAACACAAUCUUAAUGCAUGGAACAUCAAGUUUAUCUCAAUUACAUCACACAAUUAUAUUAUAAUCAUCCCUAUGACUGCUUUUGUAACAAAACACAAUCGUAAUGCAUAGAACAUCUAAUAUAUCUCAAUUACGUCACACAAUUAUAAGAGUUCAUCUUAAUAUCAAAUAUAUCAUUCACAUAAUACAGAUAAUAAUAGUCUUAUUAUACCCAACAGUGUCACAAUACAUUUACUGCCAAUAUCAAAAUGAUUUUAUAUUGUCAAUACACAACAAAAUGUCAUGCAACUCAAUGUUGUAUCUUUUUCUGUCUCCAGAUUGCAAUAGCUCUGGCAAAGUUAAAGUCUUUGGGGCUAGGACCUUGCUCGGAUAUUUCUGUUAAGGGUUGAUUUGAAAGCAAUUUGGAUUUUAUUCGGUUCUGUGUAGAGAACCCACGUUAACAAGCAACACUGCUUACUGGUAUUACACAGCAAAUCUAAAGACAAAGACAUAUUUUUGGCAACAUGCUUUCAUGCUCUGACAACAUUUUCAAGGCUACCUUAUGCAAAUCCAUAUCUUUACAGAACAGAACAGUUUAUUUAGUAAAUCAAGGCCUCCGGCCCAUAAUGCAUAGCACAAUCAAAAAUAACAUAAUACAAUUUCAAAGUUGUGCCCAUGAUACAUAACACAAUAACAUCAAAUAAUACCACUAUUAGCACGUGGUUGGAUAGUUCUACGACUUGUGAUACGGUCGAUUUAAGGUUAUUCAACUGCGACAUAACAUCUUCGAUUUUAUAGUUUAUUUAAGACAUAUUAUAAACAACCUGCUUAUGUUGCUCAUUGAUAUUGUUGCUCAUAUUUCUAAUCAACUCACGGAUGUCCAAGUGGUUUUCCUCAGAGCUUGGCAUCAAGUUGGGUUUGGGUGGCGAUCGUCAUCUACCUGUGCUCGCGGUAAGUUUUGUGACUGGCUUUGCGUGGAAGGUGAAUUAACAAUGUUAGUAUAUGAAGAUAUACGCCGUUGUCUUGUACCCGCACCAUCAUAAAAUUAUGUUGUACUAUGGCGCUGUGUAGUAUCCACUUCCAGCUGCCCACGGGUACUAGUGCGUCCGAUGCGCCCUCAGGGGUUCUGGCAUGGCUGGGGCUCCCUGACUGAUAGAUGAAACCCGUUUCUAGUCUGUAGAAGUUUUGGGCGGUCCAGGGUUCAAUUCAACAUGACCACAUAUGAGUCAAAUGGCGGCCAAACACAUGGCUAGACGAAAACAUGUCGGUAUUUUACAUUCCAUAUUUCCAGGCACAAUUAAAACAUUAAUCCCUGUGUAUGCUUUAUGUGGUUGACUGAAACAACCUAUCCUACACCUCCACAAAACUAUACAAACCCCCAUAGUCUUUAAAUUUAUAAGCAUUAAAUUAACACAACCAUCAUAUCCAAGGGACAUUACUCAUAUAUUUACAACUACCAAUGACAAGUCUUUUGUAUAUUACAUUCUCUGAUCUAAGAUUGUCACAAUCAAUGCUAAAAUGUUUACCAAGUUUCAGGAUGUUUUCCUUACCAAAGGAUGCUAGGCAGGAUUCAUUCUUUUUUAUCACAUUAGGGUCAAUGGCAGAAAGCAUCUCAUUAAACCUGCUUCUGAGAUUAUGAGCAACUUUGUUAAUGUAUUCUUCACUGAUUCUUUGCAACACAUUUUUCUCAACAUCAGCAUAUUUCAAUCUUACACAAUGAAUGAUUUCACUUUCACCAUAUUUAUGAGAUAGGAACCAAGAGUCUAUUUUUAGGCAAACUCUGAAGUUUUCCAACCAGUCCAUCAUACCACCAUUAUUCACUUCCGAAUAACACCACAGAACAAUAAUGAUUGUUUUGAUAUAUAGUAACACCAGCCAAAUAAUAUUUAUUUUUCUGUAAUUGUAAUUUGGGUGUUGUCAGGACUUCCUCUAGUUUGAUUCGUUCCAACAAUGCGUGUUCGUUUACGCGGACAACAGCAAUUGGUGAAUAAGUUGUUAUGGUUCUCAGAAUUGUGCGUUUUCCAGUGCAUAAAAAAAAUACCAACACAUAAGUAAGACAUGUAACAUAAUACUUAACAAGCUGAUCAUUCAGUUAACUAUCAAUCAGAGUUACAUUUAUUGAAAGUAUUUAUAUAGUGGCUCAAAGCCACUAAAACCAUCAAUGUUCUCUGAUAUAUUGUCUUUCACAACAGCAGCUUUGCUGUCUGAAACAGGGCGCUUGUUCUCACUUUUACCAUCUUCAUUUUUUAUAAAUUCUGACAACUUAUCUGUGUAGACACCUUCAGCUUCCAGGAGAUCCUCUAGAGAGUCACAUGUGGCAGAGACAGCUGGUCUGAUCUUACUAAAGUCUACUACAUUUGUUUGAAAGGUCUUACAGAGUCGGCCAAUUAAGGGUAUGAUGUCCAUCAACAUAUGUAUGAAACCUAUGAAAUUGUACUGCACAACUUGCUUUAACAAACCUUUUGCGACAUUGUUACUGAUAGCUUCAUGUUUAAGAGCCGUCACUAAAGCAGGGUAACUGCGGUACAGAACUUGCAUGAGACAACCAUCAAACUGAAUGAAUGUUAACAAAUUUCAGUGUUGGUUACUGCAAGAGGGACUGGAUUUCAGCUAACCUGUUUGAUCUCAAGGCAGAGUUGGAAACGGAGUAGAAGAUGUUUGAUACUGUCCUAUUAAAGGAGGCGAGUUCAGGGAUUGAAUUGGAAGCCUGAGAGGCAGCAAGAGCACAGCGAUGUGCAGCACAAUGUACACCAAUCAGGGGAGGGGCUGAGUCUCUGAGUCGUUUCACUACACCAUUUUUGCUACCUGUCUUAACUGAUGCUCCGUCAGUUUCCAUUCCAACCAUAUUACUAAUGUCAAUCUUUUUUCUUUGCAGACAGUCUGUAAUUUUCUCUACAAUGGUUUCAGCAUGUUCUCUAGCAGCACGCACUUGACACCGUCCUGGUCUAGAUAUUGUAUGUACGCCAGUAACUGUUUCUUGUUACCUAUGUCGGUGCUUUUAUCUAUUAUUAAACCGUCAGUGUCACCAUGUAAUAACUCAGAACUCGUUGGUGGGUAACUCCAAUAUAUGAUUGUAUUCUGCUAAUUCGAACUAUGAGGGAACAUAUAAUUUGUUUUGCACCAUCAGUAAGAAUAAUCUGAAAAAGUAAAACUGUUGCUUAAAUGCAUUUAAAAUAUCCUUCACUGCAGCUAAAAUUUAUUAAAAAUAUAUUACUGUAACACUGCAUUGUUCAGAAAAUUUGGUGCUAUUAAAUAUAUAUAUAAUUAUGUAUACCAAGUUUUAAGUUAAACAUCUUGAAUACACCUUAGCUAUCUCAAGCUUAUGCUUAUGUACAAAAUAAAACUUAAACCAAACUAUCGAGUUUGGCAGACUGUUUAUACAUUGGUACAGGUUUUCCAAGAAGUAGUUUCUUAUGAUUCUAGCAAAAUUGUUAAAAGAAAUAUGACACAUUUUUGCUUAUGAUAAGUUUUCUACCAAGAUCACGCAAUUUAUAUUUAUAUAUUAACUUAAGGGCAUUUUGUUUCUUCUUGUUUGGUUAAAAAUAUGUUCAUACUUUAUAUAUUGAUGUCAUUGUAAUUGCUUAUUUAUCACAUGCUAAACCCUGUUUCCCAUGUAAUACAACCAUUACAUAUUUUUUUAUAUUACACAUGUGUAAUACAACAUUUUUAAGCGUUUUCAUUGGCUUAGUUUUCGUUUAUUGACUAAUCGCAGUUUUGUUAUUUUGCUGCAAUGCGUCAAAUGACGUCACGAAAUGUAAACAACAUUCGUGAUUUAUCAUUAUGUUUGCUUAAUAUUUAUUUAAUUUGCUCAUUUAAAAGCAUGUGAUAAAAAAGAUCUGACACUCGUUGUCAUAUCAUACCAUAUUUUUAUUAAACUCGUCUAGGAAAUUCGUUAGUAAGCUCGCCAAAGGCUCGCUUACUAACAAAAUUCCUGAACUCGUUUAAUAAAAUAUGGUAUGAUAUGACAACUCAUGCCAGAUCCCUAUAUGUACAUGCCUAUCUUACCUUACCUUCUAAAGUGUUAAAUAUGUUUAUUUUUGCAUUUAACUUUAAACUUGGUAAAGUUUAUGUUUCUGAAUAAAUGAUUUAUCUUGAAA